rnacentral:rRNA from 1 species
AACGGCCGUACCAUGCUGAAUAUACCGGUUCUCGUUAGAUCACCGAAGUUAAGCAUCAUUGGGCGCGGUCAGUACUUGGGUGGGUGACCACCUGGGAACACCGUGUGCCGUAG